rnacentral:rRNA from 1 species
GACGAACGCUGGCGGCGUGCCUAACACAUGCAAGUCGUGCGAGAAAGUUCCUUCGGGAGCGAGUAAAGCGGCGCACGGGUGAGUAACACGUAGGUAACCUGCCCCCCAGUCUGGAACAACUAGAGGAAACUCUAGCUAAUGCCGGAUGAGACCACGAUCCCUUCGGGGGUUGCGGCCAAAGAUGGCCUCUACUUGUAAGCUAUCGCUGAGGGAUGGGCCUGCGGGCCAUUAGCUUGUUGGUGAGGUAACGGCUCACCAAGGCUGUGAUGGCUAGCUGGUCUGAGAGGAUGACCAGCCACACUGGGACUGAGACACGGCCCAGACUCCUACGGGAGGCAGCAGUGGGGAAUAUUGCGCAAUGGCGAAAGCCUGACGCAGCGACGCCGCGUGGGUGAUGAAGGCC